rnacentral:rRNA from 1 species
UGAGGAACAUGACCUUCGGCGGGGGAUAGCCGGCCCAACGGCCGGGUAAUACCGCGUACGACCUUUCGGGGACAUCCCUGGAUGGUGAAAGCAGCAAUGCGCCGAUGGAGUGCCUCGCGGCCUAUCAGCUAGUUGGUGAGGUAACGGCUCACCAAGGCGACGACGGGUAGCUGGUCUGAGAGGAUGGCCAGCCACAUUGGGACUGAGACACGGCCCAGACCUCCGUACGGGGAGCAG